UGCUGAGUGUUCGAACUGUAUUCAAAUAAGGAAAAAUAUAAACACCAGUGAUAGAGACAGGAGGCAGCCAAGGACCCCUCCUGCCCCCAACACCUGACGAAAUGCCGCCUUCAAGCCUAAAACAGCAUGAGGGAUGAAAAACCAGACUGCCGGUCCGGAUGAAGCCCACCCUUUUCCCCAAAUGAUUCUUUCUGAAUAACGCCCAUCUGCACAUUGGGAGGAGGGGGUGGGGCCUUGGGAAGUUUGCACUGUUUGCAGGGGGGAGGAGCCUGGUCUCUCUCGUUUCUGUGUGGUAAGGUGGGAUUUAAUCCCUGAGAUGGAGAGCCUGUUAGCAGGACUCUUAUCUCACUUUGCUGAUGCGUAUUUCCUUUUUCAUUUCUGCCUAAUAAAUUCCACUUGUCACCCUUCUACGUGUCUGCGAGCCUAAUCUUUCCUGGUCGUGUGACAAGAACCCCGUUUUUUUUCCUGCAACGCUAGAGUCACAGAAUUAUUUUUUGAAUCUUAAUGAAUGAUACCUCACAUUCUCUAUGGCUAGAAUGUUCCUCUCCCAGAUACCAUGACUUGGCCCCUUCACUUCAGUUAGGUCUCUGCUCAAAUGUUAUCUGUGAAACAUAGAAAACGGCA
rnacentral:lncRNA from 1 species